UGUGUGACGUCACAGCCUGCUGCCUGCCACUAGUGUCACACGUGAAAUCCUACACCCACACACACACAUUGCGCUGCCUGCGUCGUCGCAAGUCUGUUUCCUCGCCUGCUCCUGGGAGAGGCAUGGAUUGGAAUGAUCUUGGGGCCAUGAAACGGACAUGGAUGGAGGCUGCAGUGAUAACCGAAGUGUGUGUGACAGCAGCAUGCGCCUAGCCGCAGCAGGCAGCACGAGACGUCAUUGGGCAGCAGUGAGCAGCAGCGCAGCAAGUCUUGCCUGGUCGCAGCAAGUCUUGCCUGGUCGCAGCAAGUCUUGCCUGGUCGCAGCAAGUCGCGCCUGGUCGCAGCAAGUCGCGCCUGGUCGCAGCAAGUCGCGCCUGGUCGCAGCAAGUCGCGCCUGGUCGCAGCAAGUCGCGCCUGGUCGCAGCAAGUCGCGCCUGGUCGCAGCAAGUCGCGCCUGGUCGCAGCAUUUGGCAUCCUGAGAAGGUAACGGAUGACAGACGCAGGACUGACGUGAAGACCUGGGGAUGUGCGUGACGAGAUGGACCCGGCUGAGUCCAGCUGCACACACGGAUACAAUUGAUGAGCUCUUGAGGAAGGCCUGGAAUAACCUUGGAGGUGGCAGAGAUGACUGGAGAGCUCAAAGUGUCAGGUAAAACGAUUAUCAUCUCCAGCCCCUAUGCAUCGAAAGAUUAGGGAGGAAAAGGCCAUCUUGCACUCAGCUGUGGAGAAGUGUAACAACAACAAGAAGAAUGAUUGACACUCAUCCUUAAACAUGGGUGGUGUGCUACGUAUCCAUGUUUUCCGGGAAACACUGUACAUGUGGUAGAAGAUGGCCGUCCUCGUGGGUGCUGAACAAAAAUAAAAUCCACUAUGCGUUGUUUUUAGUUUGCCGCUUCAUGGUUAACUUUUUUACUCUUUAAAAAAAUAAAGUAACACAGACACCCCA